UACGAAGGGGGCUAGCGUUGUUCGGAAUUACUGGGCGUAAAGGGCGCGUAGGCGGUUUUGUAAGUCCCGUGUGAAAGCCCCCGGCUCAACUGGGGAAUGGCACGGGAAACUGCGAGGCUUGAGUUCGGGAGAGGGAAGCGGAAUUCCGGGUGUAGCGGUGAAAUGCGUAGAUAUCCGGAGGAACACCGGUGGCGAAGGCGGCUUCCUGGACCGACACUGACGCUGAGGCGCGAAAGCGUGGGGAGCAAACAGG
rnacentral:rRNA from 1 species